GGGGGUAACUGAGGAAGAGACGGAUAUAUCUGGACCUGGUGCCUCCUCAACAUGACAUCCACAGGUAAUUUACUGCCAUGCCUCCUGCUCCUGCACACUCUACAUUGUGUCCAUACUGCAGACUUACCUGCCUAGAACUGACCAGCAGAUCACUGUGGACCUCAUGGCACCCCAAGAUGUCUUCCUGUUCUGGAAACCCUACAGCCUACAAGAUGACCAGGCAAGGAGAUCAGCCAGGCCAGAACUGCAGGCACAAGCUGAAGUCACAGCACUCGGGAGGACACAUCUCGUCGAGAUACACGACCAGCCCACACUAAGGUUUCUGAUGAGCCCCCGAGUUACAGUCUGAUUACUCCAUAUGCACCCCCGGUUACCAUCCCACCAUCUGCCCCACCAAGGUUUUCAAAUGGACAACUGCAA